UACGAAGGGGGCUAGCGUUGUUCGGAAUUACUGGGCGUAAAGCGUGCGCAGGCGGUUUCUCAAGUCAGUGGUGAAAGCCCGGAGCUCAACUCCGGAACUGCCAUUGAAACUGUGAAACUUGAGGACGAGAGAGGUGAGUGGAAUUCCCAGUGUAGAGGUGAAAUUCGUAGAUAUUCGCAAGAACACCAGUGGCGAAGGCGGCUCACUGGCCCGAUACUGACGCUGAGGCACGAAAGCGUGGGGAGCAAACAGGG
rnacentral:rRNA from 1 species